GCAAGGGCGCAGCCUGAAUCCAGCCAUACCGCGUGGGUGAAGAAGGCCUUCGGGUUGUAAAGCCCUUUUGUUGGGAAAGAAAUCCAACUGGUUAAUACCCGGGUUGGGAUGACGGUACCCAAAGAAUAAGCACCGGCUAACUUCGUGCCAGCAGCCGCGGUAAUACGAA
rnacentral:rRNA from 1 species